rnacentral:rRNA from 1 species
UAGGGAAUAUUGGGCAAUGGAUGCAAGUCUGACCCAGCCAUGCCGCGUGCCGGAUGAAGGCCCUCAGGGUUGUAAACGGCUUUUAUUCGGGAAGAAGAGCUGGGAUGCGUCCUGGUGUGACGGUACCGAAUGAAUAAGCACCGGCUAACUCCGUGCCAGCAGCCGCGGUAAUACGGAGGGUGCGAGCGUUGUCCGGAUUUAUUGGGUUUAAAGGGUGCGUAGGUGGCUUAAUAAGUCAGUGGUGAAAUACAGCCGCUCAACGGUUGAGGUGCCAUUGAUACUGUUAAGCUUGAAACAAGUGGAGGCUGCCGGAAUGGAUGGUGUAGCGGUGAAAUGCAUAGAUAUCAUCCAGAACACCGAUUGCGAAGGCAGGUGGCUACGUUUGAUUUGACACUGAGGCACGAAAGCAUGGGGAGCAAACA